CCUGCUGACUUCCCCAAACAGCCGGGCACUCAGGCGACUCAUGCGCAAAGCAUAUUCUGAAAGCGAAGACAUUUCUCGAGCAGCAGGAGGGAGCCUACAGAAAAUGAGAAACACACUCAGAAAAGAGCUGAACUGAAACCAAGUGCAGUCUCAAACCGCCCAGUAGGCAGAACACCGAGUGAUCUUGGGCCAACAGCGCCACCUGAAGGCCAGCAGUGGGAGAGCUGUCAGACCUCCAGGGCUCGGGCCUCCCUGCCCACCUCACCCUGAGGACAAGGGGACAAGCUUGCUCUUUCAGACAUUUCUCUUUUCCCUUCUGCACUCUCUCCCAACCCUGCUACAUCAUGUAACUGUGGGUGGCCUGGGAUUAAAGAUUUUAUUUAUGACAACAACAAUAAAAAGACACGGGCUUAAUGUAUAUCAAAAUUAGUACCAAAUCA